UAAGGCCCCUAAGCGUACGCUAAGUGGGAAAGGAUGUGGAGUCGCAGAGACAACCAGGAGGUUGGCUUAGAAGCAGCCACCCUUGAAAGAGUGCGUAAUAGCUCACUGGUCAAGUGAUUCCGCGCCGACAAUGUAGCGGGGCUCAAGCGUACCGCCGAAGUCGUGUCAUUGCAGUAUGUACCCCCAACGGGGACUGUGAUGGGUAGGGGAGCGUCGUGUGCCGGGUGAAGCAGCCGCGGAAGCGAGUUGUGGACGGUUCACGAGUGAGAAUGCAGGCAUGAGUAGCGAUACACACGUGAGAAACGUGUGCGCCGAUUGACUAAGGGUUCCUGGGUCAAGCUGAUCUGCCCAGGGUAAGUCGGGACCUAAGGCGAGGCCGACAGGCGUAGUCGAUGGACAACCGGUUGAUAUUCCGGUACCCGCUUUGAAACGCCCAAUAUCGAAUCAGGCGAUGCUAAGUCCGUGAAGCCGCCCUGGAGUCUUCGGACAAAGGGGAGUGGUGGAGCCGACGAACCAGACUUGUAGUAGGUAAGCGAUGGGGUGACGCAGGAAGGUAGUCCAGCCCGGGCGGUGGUAGUCCCGGGGUAAGGGUGUAGGCCGUGUGAUAGGCAAAUCCGUCACACAUUAAGGCUGAGACCUGAUGCCGAGCCGAUUGUGGUGAAGUGGAUGAUCCUAUGCUGUCGAGAAAAGCCUCUAGCGAGUUUCAUGGCGGCCCGUACCCUAAACCGACUCAGGUGGUCAGGUAGAGAAUACCGAGGCGUUCGGGUGAACUAUGGUUAAGGAACUCGGCAAAAUGCCCCCGUAACUUCGGGAGAAGGGGGGCCAUGUCUGGUGAGGGAACUUGCUUCCUGAGCUGGGUGUGGCCGCAGAGACCAGCGAGAAGCGACUGUUUACUAAAAACACAGGUCCGUGCGAAGCCGUAAGGCGAUGUAUACGGACUGACGCCUGCCCGGUGCUGGAACGUUAAGGGGACCGGUUAGCUCCAUUUCGGUGGGGCGAAGCUGAGAACUUAAGCGCCAGUAAACGGCGGUGGUAACUAUAACCAUCCUAAGGUAGCGAAAUUCCUUGUCGGGUAAGUUCCGACCUGCACGAAUGGCGUAACGACUUCUCGACUGUCUCAACCAUAGGCCCGGUGAAAUUGCACUACGAGUAAAGAUGCUCGUUUCGCGCAGCAGGACGGAAAGACCCCGGACCUUUACUAUAGCUUGAUAUUGGUGUUCGGUUCGGCUUGUGUAGGAUAGGUGGGAGACUGUGAAGCAUGCACGCCAGUGUGUGUGGAGUCGUCGUUGAAAUACCACUCUGGUCGUGCUGGAUGUCUAACCUGGGUCCGUGAUCCGGAUCAGGGACAGUGUCUGGUGGGUAGUUUAACUGGGGCGGUUGCCUCCUAAAGGGUAACGGAGGCGCCCAAAGGUUCCCUCAGCCUGGUUGGCAAUCAGGUGUUGAGUGUAAGUGCACAAGGGAGCUUGACUGUGAGACCGACGGGUCGAGCAGGGACGAAAGUCGGGACUAGUGAUCCGGCGGUGGCUUGUGGAAGCGCCGUCGCUCAACGGAUAAAAGGUACCCCGGGGAUAACAGGCUGAUCUUCCCCAAGAGUCCAUAUCGACGGGAUGGUUUGGCACCUCGAUGUCGGCUCGUCGCAUCCUGGGGCUGGAGUCGGUCCCAAGGGUUGGGCUGUUCGCCCAUUAAAGCGGUACGCGAGCUGGGUUUAGAACGUCGUGAGACAGUUCGGUCCCUAUCCGCUGUGCGCGUAGGAGUCUUGAGAAGGGCUGUCCCUAGUACGAGAGGACCGGGACGGACGAACCUCUGGUGUGCCAGUUGUCCUGCCAAGGGCAUGGCUGGUUGGCUACGUUCGGGAGGGAUAACCGCUGAAAGCAUCUAAGCGGGAAGCCUGCUUCGAGAUGAGGACUCCCACCCACUUGAUGGGGUAAGGCUCCAGUAGACGACUGGGUUGAUAGGCCAGGUGUGGAAGACCGGUAACGGUUGGAGCUGACUGGUACUAAUAGGCCGAGGGCUUGUCCUCAGUUG
rnacentral:rRNA from 1 species